UACGAAGGGUGCAAGCGUUGUUCGGAAUCAUUGGGCGUAAAGGGCGCGUAGGCGGGUUUGUAAGUCGCAUGUGAAAACCCUAGGCUUAACCUGGGACCUGCAUGCGAUACUGCAAGUCUUGAAUGUCUGAGAGGAAGGCGGAAUUCCAGGUGUAGAAGUGAAAUUCGUAGAUAUCUGGAGGAACAUCCGAGGCGAAGGCGGCCUUCUGGUCCAGUACUGACACUCAAGUGCGAAAGCGUGGGGAGCAAACAGG
rnacentral:rRNA from 1 species